GACGAACGCUGGCGGCGUGCUUAACACAUGCAAGUCGAACGCUUAAGACCUGGCUUUUGUUGGGUUCGAUGAGUGUCGAACGGGUUAUUCACACGUUCGUAACCUGCCCUCUUCUUUGGGAUCACGCCCGGAAACGGGUUCUAAUACUGGAUAUUCACUGCUCUUCGCAUGUUGGUCGGUGCACAGGUUUGUUCUGGUGGGUUAUUGGCUCGCGGCCUAUCAGCUGGUUGGUGGGGUGAUGGCCUACAAAGGCUUUUACGUGUAGCCGGCCUGAGAGGGUGACCGGUCACAUUGGGACUGAGAUACGGCACAGACUGAGACGGGAGGCAGCAGUGGGGAAUAUUGGACAAUGGACGAAAGCCGGAUGCAGCGACGCUGCGUGAGGUAUGGAGGCCUGUGAGUUGCAAGCCGCUUGCGGUCAUGGUCAAGCCGAAAUUGUGGGUUGUGGUGAGGGUAGUGGGUAAAGAAGCGCCGGCUAACUACGUG
rnacentral:rRNA from 1 species